UCUUCUACAUGAUGUCCAGCAUCGGGCUUUGACAUUCUUGAGGACAUGGAGUUUCUAGGACCUUUGACACCAGAGAUCUGAGGAGA